GUCUUUGAAGCUUCCCAGUUUAGCUUUCCCCCUAAUUAUUUUUGUCUUUGUUCAAAUUUCCUGUGGCAGUUGCUGCCAAACUUGAGAAGUUGAUGAGGGAUUUUCUUUGGCCUAGGAUGUGGGAAAGUGGGACAAAGGUCAUAUGGUCAGCUCGGAGGCUGUGUAUCAACCUUAAUUUAAAGAAAGGUUUGGAUCUUAAAAGUCAGGCAUGUAAUGGCAUUUCCUGUCCAGGGAGUGGUUGUGGCAGUUUACCUUGGAGCCUCACUGACUGUGGGCUGUGGCAUAAGGUAACCAAGAAUAAGUAUAGCCUCCAAUAAAAUGGAUAGAUAUCAAGACUGAAGCUAAUGUUAAAAUGUAAGCCCCUGGUAUUUCAUUUUUUAGAUGUGUAUAUUUUUCUUCCUGUAGUCAAGUAUAAAGUUGGUAAUGUUUAAUG
rnacentral:misc_RNA from 1 species